UACAGAGACUGCAAGCGUUAUUCGGAUUCACUGGGCGUAAAGGGUGCGCAGGCGGCCGAGUGUGUGAGGCGUGAAAGCCUGGAGCUUAACUCCAGAAUUGCACCUCAAACUACACGGCUAGAGGCAUUGGAGAGGGUAGCAGAAUUCAUGGGUGUAGCAGUGAAAUGCGUAGAUAUCAUGAGGAAUACCAGAGGCGAAGCGGCUACCUGGACAAGU
rnacentral:rRNA from 1 species